GAAAAGUUAUACAUGCCAUCAUGAUUUUAUUAACAUUAUGUUUCAAAACUUUUUAAGUGUAUAAACCUCAUCAAAUGUCCAGGUCUCUGGGUUGGUGAAUCCUAUAACUUGCUCACUUCUCCUGUCAUAUACAAGAUCCGACUUGACCUUCAUUUCAUCAUGUAGGAGACACACAUACUUCUUCUCUGAUGGCAAGUCCUUGGCAACUUUUUUUAAUUCCUUUAUCCAAAUAGUUUAUUAAAAGAUCAAUCUAAAUUACACUGAACAUCUUUUCUAGGCCAUUUAGAAAUAUUUAUUUUACUAAAACAAAAACAAUUUUAUGUAAGCCAGUACAUCAUAUUAAUCUGAGAAUGAUAUUCACCUGAAAAGCCUCAGCCUGAAAACCAGAUUUAGGCUGGAUGAAAUUAGUGUAGUCACGAAGAGUAGCUUGAUUUGGUAGUCGAAGGACUCCACUUUCUCUCAAUGACUCAUAUGCUCUGGGACUUUGGCAACGGAGAUAAAUGGCAAAACGGAUCAUCAUCGGAUGCCAUCUCAUUCCUAAUAAUGAUUAACGAAAAGGUCCAUGAGAGCGUUGCCAGAUUUACAACUUUGAAGAGUUGCAAAAAGGCCCUCUCCAACAUCAUCAGCAACGGAAGCUGUCUCACCUUUAAAACAUUAUUUUACCUCUACUCAAAGAUUCUACAAGACUCUGAAGCUUUCUGUUCUCUUCUCGGAUGACUUUGAAAUGUUUGAUGAGAGUUGUUUGUGGGACAUGUUUCAAAGGGGUUUUAGGAUGAAGCAUAUUGGGAGAAGCAUUUUCCUGUGCAUUCAGUGAGGAUUCAAGCUUAGAACAAGGACCACAUAAUGCGUUGCCCUGAACUCCUCCUAAGCAACCAUUGGCACGAAUCACACUUUUGUUGGAUGGUUUUCCAUUAAUGACGUGGGUGGAAAAAAAGCGGUAUCCCUGCGAACUUUUGAUAGUGACAUCUGGGCUGUCUUUAAUCCCAGCGCAUUUAGUUAUUUUGUCUACAGUUCCAAAAAUUUGUUGACACGCAUUUUCUCCACUGAGUUCUCGAAUCCUUGGACCACCACCUCUGUUUUUGGAAAAAAUUGUUAACUUGAAACCAGUCCUUGGCUGCGUUUAACUAAAGGAUUGCAACUUAUGGCCACAUUAAUGAAUGCUUAUUAAUCAGGAACUAAUAAUUUUUUUACAAAAUAUGAUUUUUAUGGAAAUCAAAAUAAUUGUAAAUAUUAGGCCAUCCUUAAAAAAAAGUUUGCUUGGAAUUGCCACCUGGAAGUUUCUAGAUAGAAGAAUGGAGGAAUAGAAAAGUAGAUUAAUUUUCUAAAUCUAAAGUUUAACUAAUUAAAAAUCGAUAAAAAAAUAAAAAUCUCCAUAUACAUGUAUUAAAAAAAAAAUCUUUAUUUUUUGGUAGUAAAUUUGUCAGUAAGGGGCAUUUGAAUGAGAUGGGAGGCAAAUCCAACAAACAAUUUUUUGGGGGCCUUUAAUUGUUUUUCAUAAUUUUUUUUUUAAAGAUAUUUCAUCAGACUGAAAAUAUCUAUGACUUUGUUGUAAGUUCUUUUGUAAAACCCAGUGGUGUUAUUUACAAUAAAUACAUGUACUG
rnacentral:sRNA from 1 species